rnacentral:rRNA from 1 species
GGUGACCUGCGGAAGGAUCAUUACUGAGUGAGGGCCCUCUGGGUCCAACCUCCCACCCGUGUUUAUUGUACCUUGUUGCUUCGGUGCGCCCGCCUCACGGCCGCCGGGGGGCUUCUGCCCCCGGGUCCGCGCGCACCGGAGACACUAUUGAACUCUGUCUGAAGAUUGCAGUCUGAGCAUAAACUAAAUAAGUUAAAACUUUCAACAACGGAUCUCUUGGUUCCGGCAUCGAUGAAGAACGCAGCGAAAUGCGAUAACUAAUGUGAAUUGCAGAAUUCAGUGAAUCAUCGAGUCUUUGAACGCACAUUGCGCCCCCUGGUAUUCCGGGGGGCAUGCCUGUCCGAGCGUCAUUGCUGCCCUCAAGCACGGCUUGUGUGUUGGGCUCCGUCCCCCCGGGGACGGGUCCGAAAGGCAGCGGCGGCACCGAGUCCGGUCCUCGAGCGUAUGGGGCUUUGUCACCCGCUCUGUAGGCCCGGCCGGCGCCAGCCGACAACCAAUCAUCCUUUUUUCAGGUUGACCUCGGAUCAGGUAGGGAUACCCGCUGAACUUAAGCAUAUCAAUAAGCGGAGGAAAAGAAACCAACAGGGAUUACCUCAGUAACGGCGAGUGAAGCGGUAAGAGCUCAAAUUUGAAAGCUGGCUCCUUCGGGGUCCGCAUUGUAAUUUGCAGAGGAUGUUUCGGGAGCAGCCCCCAUCUAAGUGUCCUGGAACGGACCGUCAUAGAGGGUGAGAAUCCCGUAUGGGAUGGGGUGUCUGCGCCCAUGUGAAACUCCUUCGACGAGUCGAGU